UAUAUAUGAUGUUGAACCAUAAAGCAGUUGCUUGGAUACCAGAGAUGAAUCUUUUGGCUACAGUAAGCUGGGAUAAGGUUAUCAAGUAGGCAGCAAACGCAAAUCCAUACACAACAGCUUCCAGAAUGUUGUUACAGACUCUCUGUCAAAUAUCCUCUGAUGGUUGUUGGAAAAACAGAUAAAAGAAAUCUGAUUGUUUUUAGCCUACGCAACCCUCAGAGAAAGAUUAGGUUACCUGCUAGGACAUCCAAUCCUAAGAACGACGGCGCAAGGGUACCAUUUUCCAGUGAUGAUAACGAAGCUCCUAGCACACCAAAAGAAGAUGCCAUUUUUAUUCCAAGGGAGAAUCCAAGAGCUCUUGUUAUACGUCCCCUUGAACAUUGGACCUCCAGAACCUCUACAGAAAAAUAUUCACCUGGUAAAGCGGGGAGGGCUGCGGAGGUGCUGAAGAAAACCUUACAAGUAAACAACUGAGCUACGACCAUGAAGUCAACAAUAGACAUGGCAUCUUCCAGAGCCUGUUUAAAUUAAGCAG